AUUGAACGCUGGCGGCAGGCCUAACACAUGCAAGUCGAACGAGUGGCGGACGGGUGAGUAAUGUCUGGGAAACUGCCCGAUGGAGGGGGUUAACUACUGGAAACUGUAGCUAAUACCGCAUACCAUCGGAUGUGCCCAGAUGGGAUUAGCUCGUAGGUGGGGUAAAGGCUCACCUAGGCGACGAUCCCUAGCUGGUCUGAGAGGAUGACCAGCCACACUGGAACUGAGAAACGGUCCAGAGUCCUAGGGGAGGCAGAAGUGGGGAAUAUGGCACAAUGGGCGCAAGCCGGAUGCAGCCAUGCCGCGUGUAUGAAGAAGGCCUUCGGGUUGUAAAGUACUUUCAGCGAGGAGGCGUUACUCGCAGAAGAAGCAUCGGCUAACUCCGUGCCAGCAGCCGCGGUAUAC
rnacentral:rRNA from 1 species